rnacentral:rRNA from 1 species
GAUGAACGCUGGCGGCGUGCCUAAUACAUGCAAGUCGAGCGAACAGAUAAGGAGCUUGCUCCUUUGACGUUAGCGGCGGACGGGUGAGUAACACGUGGGUAACCUACCUAUAAGACUGGGAUAACUUCGGGAAACCGGAGCUAAUACCGGAUAAUAUUUCGAACCGCAUGGUUCGAUAGUGAAAGAUGGUUUUGCUAUCACUUAUAGAUGGACCCGCGCCGUAUUGGCUAGUUGGUAAGGUAACGGCUUACCAAGGCGACGAUACGUAGCCGACCUGAGAGGGUGAUCGGCCACACUGGAACUGAGACACGGUCCAGACUCCUACGGGAGGCAGCAGUAGGGAAUCUUCCGCAAUGGGCGAAAGCCUGACGGAGCAACGCCGCGUGAGUGAUGAAGGUCUUCGGAUCGUAAAACUCUGUUAUUAGGGAAGAACAUACGUGUAAGUAACUGUGCACGUCUUGACGGUACCUAAUCAGAAAGCCACGGCUAACUACGU